AUACGUAGGGGGCGAGCGUUGUCCGGAAUGAUUGGGCGUAAAGGGCGCGUAGGCGGCCUGUUAAGUCUGGAGUGAAAGUCCUGUUUUCAAGAUGGGAAUUGCUUUGGAUACUGAUGGGCUUGAGUGCAGGAGAGGUUAUCGGAAUUCCCGGUGUAGCGGUGAAAUGCGUAGAGAUCGGGAGGAACAUUAGUGGCGAAGGCGGGUAACUGGACUGCAACUGACGCUGAGGCGCGAAAGUGUGGGGAGCAAACAGGAUUAGAUACCCUGGUAGUCCACACUGUAAACGAUGAAUGCUAGGUGUAAGAGGUAUCGACCCCUUUUGUGCCGGAGUUAACACAAUAAGCAUUCCGCCUGGGGAGUACGGCCGCAAGGUUGAAACUCAAAGGAAUUGACGGGG
rnacentral:rRNA from 1 species